AUUGAACGCUGGCGGCAGGCCUAACACAUGCAAGUCGAGCGGAGCGGCGGACGGGUGCGGAAUGCCUAUGAAUCUGCCUGUGCGUGGGGGAUAACGUCCGGUACCGGGCGCUAAUACCACAUACUCUCAGAUGAGCCUAUGUCGGAUUAGCUAGUGGGUGGGGUAAGGGCCUACCAAGGCGACGAUCCGUAACUGGUCUGAGAGUAUGAUCAGUCACACUGGAACUGAGACACGGUCCAGACUCCUACGGGAGGCAGCAGUGGGGAAUAUUGCACAAUGGGCGAAAGCCUGAUGCAGCCAUGCCGCGUGUGUGAAGAAGGUCUUCGGAUUGUAAAGCACUUUUAGUUAGGAGGCGUUACCAACAGAAUAAGCACCGGCUAACUUCGUGCCAGCCGCCGCGGUAAUAC
rnacentral:rRNA from 1 species